CAACAAUCAAGCCCCGCUUGGUGUUGGGCCCGCGGCCGGUCCCCCAGGACCGGCCCGCCCGAAACGCAUCGGCGAGGAGACCGACCCCCGGCGUCUUGAGAAUCUCACGGUUCGUACGUCGGGAGCACCGGUGGCCUCCGCCGCGACCUUUUUUACUUCUAA
rnacentral:misc_RNA from 2 species